rnacentral:rRNA from 1 species
CCUACGGGAGGCAGCAGUGAGGAAUAUUGGUCAAUGGACGAGAGUCUGAACCAGCCAAGUAGCGUGAAGGAUGACUGCCCUAUGGGUUGUAAACUUCUUUUAUAUGGGAAUAAAAUGUUCCACGUGUGGGAUUUUGUAUGUACCAUAUGAAUAAUGAUCGGCUAACUCCGUGCCAGCAGCCGCGGUAAUACGGAGGAUCCGAGCGUUAUCCGGAUUUAUUGGGUUUAAAGGGAGCGUAGGUGGAUUGUUAAGUCAGUUGUGAAAGUUUGCGGCUCAACCGUAAAAUUGCAGUUGAAACUGGCAGUCUUGAGUACAGUAGAGGUGGGCGGAAUGCGUGGUGUAGCGGUGAAAUGCUUAGAUAUCACGAAGAACUCCGAUUGCGAAGGCAGUUCACUGGACUGCAACUGACACUGAGGCUCGAAAGUGUGGGUAUCAAACAGGAUUAGAUACCCGUGUAGUC